GGGCAACCAAUUUUAUAUAUUUUCUACACACUUGAGGCUGCCAUUAUUAUAUAGACACGUACGGAAAUUGAGGGAGAGAAAAUACUAUAUUUUAUACACACUUUUGAGGCUGAGAUUGGAGAAAAACCGAGAAAGGGGGAGAAUUUUUUCCGCUGCCUUUAAAAGGGAUACAAAGAGAUACAUACGCAGGAGACUAUUGGGAGAAUUAAUUUUAAUGGCUGUCUUUAUUAUCUAUACAUAUAGAAAUUGAGGCACAGUGAAGGACGGUUGCUACUCAAUUACAUACAAAAAGGAGGCAGAAUUUAUAUACGCAUACACGGCAAAAGAUGGUGACACGCGGCAGAUUUACUUUUACAAAUUAUUCACGUUUUGUCAAUUAACCGGGUGAUAAAAUUCAUGACAAUUUCUUAUUUUUCUUUCAUUAACAUGGGUAGCUAAAUUUAAUUUUAGG
rnacentral:lncRNA from 1 species